rnacentral:rRNA from 1 species
UACGAAGGGGGCUAGCGUUGCUCGGAUUGACUGGGCGUAAAGGGCGCGUAGGCGGUUCGUACAGUCAGACGUGAAAUUCCUGGGCUCAACCUGGGGGCUGCGUUUGACACGUGCGGACUUGAGUGCGGAAGAGGGUCGUGGAAUUCCCAGUGUAGAGGUGAAAUUCGUAGAUAUUGGGAAGAACACCGGUGGCGAAGGCGGCGACCUGGUCCGAUACUGACGCUGAGGCGCGAAAGCGUGGGGAGCAAACAGG